ACCGCCCUAAGCAGCACUGCAGGUGUGGCUGCUGUGUCAGUAGGUAGCAGGAAAAGGGACCCCGUGUGCCUCAGUGUCCUGUCCUAUGAGCAUCUGAAUGAACAGAGCUUGACACU
rnacentral:snoRNA from 1 species